rnacentral:rRNA from 1 species
GUCCACGCCCUAAACGAUGUCAACUGGUUGUUGGGGGUUUGACACUCUCAGUAACGAAGCUAACGCGUGAAGUUGACCGCCUGGGGAGUACGGCCGCAAGGUUAAAACUCAAAGGAAUUGACGGGGACCCGCACAAGCGGUGGAUUAUGUGGAUUAAUUCGAUGCAACGCGAAAACCUUACCUACCCUUGACAUGUCCUGGAGGCCCCUGAGAGGGGGCUGUGCCCGAAAGGGAACGGGAACACAGGUGCUGCAUGGCUGUCGU